AUUGAACGCUGGCGGCAGGCUUAACACAUGCAAGUCGAGCGGAGAUGAGGUGCUUGCACCUUAUCUUAGCGGCGGACGGGUGAGUAAUGCUUAGGAAUCUGCCUAUUAGUGGGGGACAACAUUCCGAAAGGAAUGCUAAUACCACAUACGUCCUACGUGAGAAAGCAGGGGAUCUUCGGACCUAGCGCUAAUAGAUGAGCGUAAGUCGGAUUAGCUAGUUGGUGGGGUAAAGGCCUACCAAGGCGACGAUCUGUAGCGGGUCUGAGAGGAUGGUCCGCCACACUGGGACUGAGACACGGCCCAGACUCCUACGGGAGGCAGUAGUGGGGAAUAUUGGACAAUGGGGGGAACCCUGAUCCAGCCAUGCCGCGUGUGUGAAGAAGGCCUUAUGGUUGUAAAACACUUUAAGCGAGGAGGAGGCUACUGAGACUAAUACUCUUGGAUAGUGGACGUUACUCGCAGAAUAAGCACCGGCUAACUCUGUGCCAGCAGCCGCAGUAACAC
rnacentral:rRNA from 1 species